rnacentral:rRNA from 1 species
AACGAACGCUGGCGGCAGGCUUAACACAUGCAAGUCGAACGGGUGUAGCAAUACAUCAGUGGCAGACGGGUGAGUAACACGUGGGAACCUUCCUAGGGGUACGGAACAACUCAGGGAAACUUGAGCUAAUACCGUAUACGUCCGUGAGGAGAAAGAUUUAUCGCCCUUAGACGGGCCCGCGUCGGAUUAGCUAGUUGGUGGGGUAACGGCCUACCAAGGCGACGAUCCGUAGCUGAUCUUAGAGGAUGAUCAGCCACACUGGGACUGAGACACGGCCCAGACUCCUACGGGAGGCAGCAGUGGGGAAUCUUGGACAAUGGGCGCAAGCCUGAUCCAGCCAUGCCGCGUGAGUGAAGAAGGCCUUAGGGUUGUAAAGCUCUUUUGCCAGGGACGAUAAUGACGGUACCUGGAGAAUAAGCCCCGGCAAACUUCGUGCCAGCCGCCGCAGUAACAC